rnacentral:rRNA from 1 species
AAGAACGCUGGCGGCAUGCCUAACACAUGCAAGUCGAACGGUAUGAUGCUUUCGGGCAUCAGAGAGUGGCGCACGGGUGAGUAACGCGUGGGAACCUGCCCCUGGGUACGGGACAACGUCUGGAAACGGGCGCUAAUACCGUAUACGUCCUUCGGGAGAAAGAUUUAUCGCCCUGGGAGGGGCCCGCGUCCGAUUAGCUUGUUGGUGGGGUAAUGGCCUACCAAGGCGACGAUCGGUAGCUGGUCUGAGAGGAUGAUCAGCCACACUGGGACUGAGACACGGCCCAGACUCCUGCGGGAGGCAGCAGUGGGGAAUAUUGGACAAUGGGGGCAACCCUGAUCCAGCAAUGCCGCGUGUGUGAUGAAGGCCUUAGGGUUGUAAAGCACUUUCACUGGUGAAGAUGAUGACGGUAUCCAGAGAAGAAGCCCCGGCUAACUCCGUGCCAGCAGCCGCGGUAAUACGGAGGGGGCAAGCGUUGUUCGGAAUUACUGGGCGUAAAGGGCGUGCAGGCUGUGAUUUA